rnacentral:rRNA from 1 species
GAUGAACGCUGGCGGCGUGCUUAACACAUGCAAGUCGAACGGUGAAGGCGGAGCUUGCUCUGCUGGAUCAGUGGCGAACGGGUGAGUAACACGUGAGCAAUCUGCCCCUGACUCUGGGAUAAGCGCUGGAAACGGCGUCUAAUACUGGAUACGAGCUGCGAAGGCAUCUUCAGCAGCUGGAAAGAAUUUCGGUCAGGGAUGAGCUCGCGGCCUAUCAGCUUGUUGGUGAGGUAAUGGCUCACCAAGGCGUCGACGGGUAGCCGGCCUGAGAGGGUGACCGGCCACACUGGGACUGAGACACGGCCCAGACUCCUACGGGAGGCAGCAGUGGGGAAUAUUGCACAAUGGGCGAAAGCCUGAUGCAGCAACGCCGCGUGAGGGACGACGGCCUUCGGGUUGUAAACCUCUUUUAGCAGGGAAGAAGCGAAAGUGACGGUGCCUGCAGAAAAAGCGCCGGCUAACUACGUG